GGGUUGUGAGGUUAAGCGACUAAGCGUACACGGUGGAUGCCCUGGCAGUCAGAGGCGAUGAAGGACGUGCUAAUCUGCGAUAAGCGUCGGUGAGGUGAUAUGAACCGUUAUAACCGGCGAUUUCCGAAUGGGGAAACCCAGUGUGUUUCGACACACUAUCAUUAACUGAAUCCAUAGGUUAAUGAGGCGAACCGGGGGAACUGAAACAUCUAAGUACCCCGAGGAAAAGAAAUCAACCGAGAUUCCCCCAGUAGCGGCGAGCGAACGGGGAGGAGCCCAGAGCCUGAAUCAGUGUGUGUGUUAGUGGAAGCGUCUGGAAAGGCGUGCGAUACAGGGUGACAGCCCCGUACACAAAAAUGCACAUAUUGUGAGCUCGAUGAGUAGGGCGGGACACGUGGUAUCCUGUCUGAAUAUGGGGGGACCAUCCUCCAAGGCUAAAUACUCCUGACUGACCGAUAGUGAACCAGUACCGUGAGGGAAAGGCGAAAAGAACCCCGGCGAGGGGAGUGAAAAAGAACCUGAAACCGUGUACGUACAAGCAGUGGGAGCCUCUUAAUGAGGUGACUGCGUACCUUUUGUAUAAUGGGUCAGCGACUUAUAUUCUGUAGCAAGGUUAACCGAAUAGGGGAGCCGAAGGGAAACCGAGUCUUAACUGGGCGUUAAGUUGCAGGGUAUAGACCCGAAACCCGGUGAUCUAGCCAUGGGCAGGUUGAAGGUUGGGUAACACUAACUGGAGGACCGAACCGACUAAUGUUGAAAAAUUAGCGGAUGACUUGUGGCUGGGGGUGAAAGGCCAAUCAAACCGGGAGAUAGCUGGUUCUCCCCGAAAGCUAUUUAGGUAGCGCCUCGUGAAUUCAUCUCCGGGGGUAGAGCACUGUUUCGGCAAGGGGGUCAUCCCGACUUACCAACCCGAUGCAAACUGCGAAUACCGGAGAAUGUUAUCACGGGAGACACACGGCGGGUGCUAACGUCCGUCGUGAAGAGGGAAACAACCCAGACCGCCAGCUAAGGUCCCAAAGUCAUGGUUAAGUGGGAAACGAUGUGGGAAGGCCCAGACAGCCAGGAUGUUGGCUUAGAAGCAGCCAUCAUUUAAAGAAAGCGUAAUAGCUCACUGGUCGAGUCGGCCUGCGCGGAAGAUGUAACGGGGCUAAACCAUGCACCGAAGCUGCGGCAGCGACACUAUGUGUUGUUGGGUAGGGGAGCGUUCUGUAAGCCUGUGAAGGUGGCCUGUGAGGGUUGCUGGAGGUAUCAGAAGUGCGAAUGCUGACAUAAGUAACGAUAAAGCGGGUGAAAAGCCCGCUCGCCGGAAGACCAAGGGUUCCUGUCCAACGUUAAUCGGGGCAGGGUGAGUCGACCCCUAAGGCGAGGCCGAAAGGCGUAGUCGAUGGGAAACAGGUUAAUAUUCCUGUACUUGGUGUUACUGCGAAGGGGGGACGGAGAAGGCUAUGUUGGCCGGGCGACGGUUGUCCCGGUUUAAGCGUGUAGGCUGGUUUUCCAGGCAAAUCCGGAAAACCAAGGCUGAGGCGUGAUGACGAGGCACUACGGUGCUGAAGCGACAAAUGCCCUGCUUCCAGGAAAAGCCUCUAAGCAUCAGGUAACAUCAAAUCGUACCCCAAACCGACACAGGUGGUCAGGUAGAGAAUACCAAGGCGCUUGAGAGAACUCGGGUGAAGGAACUAGGCAAAAUGGUGCCGUAACUUCGGGAGAAGGCACGCUGAUAUGUAGGUGAAG
rnacentral:rRNA from 1 species